CUUCCUCAAAACUUCAAGUGCUC
rnacentral:piRNA from 2 species